AAAAUAAACCAAGAGUAAAAGUGAUUAAAAUAGCAACAAAGUUAAAACAAAGUAAAAUAAACAAAAUAAGGAAACAAGGCAUACUGUUGGGCUGUGACAAAUAAAGAAAACUUAAAUAAGAUAAUAAAAAAUAAAUACAGUAAAAUGAAAUAAGGAUUUGAGCCAGGGACUUUAUACGAUAUGUAUAGUUUAAGCCGGGAGGUUGGGAAAAUAGGCAUAGGUGUGCUCUUGCACAGAUAUUACUAGCAGGCUAAAUGGUAAACCUCUUUAUGAGUGGUUUUCAAGCUGUCUUCUGAGAAGCCCUGGAGCUAGUUUCUUAUAGGCCCUCUAGGGCGUGGCUUGGGGGAAGAAUAGGUCUGGAGAUAGGCCAGACCAUGCUGCCACAGGCCAUUUGCUUUUGCUUCUGUUUCUGCCAGAGAAACUGUGCCUCCAGCUGCCUUAUCGGUGUCUACAGAGAAAAUUCAGAGAGGACUGUGAACUUGCAUAAGAAUAAAAUUAUAUUUUUAUUUUCACUAACCUCAAUAAUAUUUAGCAUUUCUUUCAUUUAUGAAUGUAGGCAGCAGAUGACUAUAAUAUUAACAGCAUCUGUGUCUUUCUUGCCAAUAAAAAUCAUUGAUUUUUUCAUAUCACAUUACAUUUGUUACAGAUAUCACUGCUUAGAAAUUAUGUUAGUAAUUAAACCUACCGCUAGCUAGUGUUAUUUCAUGCAUUAAUAAAGCAGCACAUAUGUUACCAUAUCCCAAAGAUUUCUUAAUAUCUUGAUAAUUGUAUUUCAAUAUAAUUGGUUUCUGUUGUAAGAAACUAAUUCUGAGAAGCCUUCAUCAGACUGCCAGAGGGUUCAAGACAAAAAAUUGUUAGGAACCCUGCUGUGAGAUCUUGUUUGAAAAAUAGGUUCUUUUGCUUAGACUUAUUUUUAUUUCUUCCCUUAGGUUUUUUGGGUUUUAAAUACUCUGGGUCUUUGUUUUCUCUUCUUACAAAGAAGACUUUCUUAGUUUAGACCUUACCAAGUAAGACAAGCAUAUAAUUGAUGGGUUUUCUGUCUUCACAAUGAAAAUUUAGAUACAGCCAGUCUCCCAAGUUUCCCUACAGCACCGGAAAAAAGGUGUGGUGAGGAGUGAGAAGAUUUGGACAGGCCCUGAGAUGCUACCUGUCAGGAGACCAGCGCUGGCAGGGUGCUAGACAGGAGCAUUUCCGCUUUAUUUUGAUAUCACCAUCACCCAGUCCUUGGUGAGGAACUGGCCACAGACCUUUGGAGAAAGAACAAUUGCCAAAACAUACCCAUUGGGUCUUCCUGGUGUAUUGGCACUAGUUGGAAAAUUUUAGACCAGAUGACCUCUGAAGUCCUGCCAACUUCCGGAAUCUGAAAUUGCAACCUGGAUAGACUAAGUGAGUCCCUUGGAGCCAUGUGACAAGUCCAAGCUCCAGCUGUGGAUGAGGCCUGACUUCAAGUUCAGAAGCUCAUCAGCUAGCCCAGUGUAUCUCUUUGUGUCAGUUUUUUUUCCUAAGCAGUUUCAGUAAUAUACCAAAAGAUACAGACUCAAUGAACAUUUUGAAACCUCCUAACAGUGUGACAUAGAAUUAAUUAAACCUAGAAAAAAAUUAACAUAAAAAGAAAUUCAACAAUGAAAAUGUAUUAUCUUGUGGGGGAGGUACUAAAAAGACCCUGAAGGAGUCAGGAUGGGAAGAAAGAGGUGACUGGGGUCUUAGGACCAGUUUAGUCCCCACUUUGAUCUGUAGCUUUGAACUAGUUAGUGAACUCUCUGGACAUCAGCUUUCUAGAUGAGCAGAUCAUCUUGGAUGCCUCCCAAGGCACUUCCCAUAGCUAAAACAUAAUGUUUCUUAAUGUCACUGAUAAGAUUUUAUCACCAGAUGCCUCAGACUUUGAAAGCAUGUAGCUCUGGCUUUUUGUUUAGUUUCUCACGCAGAAUUUUAUUCACUUUAAAAUUGAAGUUCCAGCCGCCUUAACUAUGAAUAUCAAGAGAAAAACUAAUAGAUGUAAAAGUAAACAACAGAAAGGGUAGAAGAUCUCUUAUUCUCUUCUGGAUUUAGGUGACAGACUUCAUUUACUAUCUUGUUUGUGAAUAUAUUUAGUAAAUUUUGUGGUAUGAGAAGUUGGGUAUCCACUCUUAUUUAUCCUCUAGGUAACUAAUUUUUAUACAUAUGUACUUGCCUUUUUCCUGCAAGGCCCACAAACCACAUGUUUUUGAUGCCUUGUAUAUACAUGAGAUUUAAAAGGAGAAGGCUAAAGUAAAUCUGUUCUAAUAGCUACAGAACCAUUUGUAAAUUAAACCUUAAACUCCUAAAAUUUCACAUAAGAAUAUGUAUCCAAGUUCUUUUUUUUCUACAGUAUAAACCCCUUUUAUUGAAAAAUAUUUCUCCUGCCUAUUUUUAUAAUUGUAAAGUCAAAUUAAGGUACCAGGAAUUAUAGCUACAGGGCAAUGAGAAAGGCAUAACUAAAAUAUAGUUUUAUAUUUAUUAUAUAAACCCUACUUCAGUAGGGUUUUAAGUGUAACGCAGUUUGAUUUGAAAAUAAUUAAGAGAUCGUUUCAGAAACUGGUAUAAUAUUUAAGGGAGAGCUGAGUAGAUAAACAGAAGCUUCAAGGAGAGAUUUAUGGGAACAGAAGUUUCAGUUGAUUGCAUCAUGGUUUUUGAGGCCAAAGGCAAAUAAAUUCCUGAGUAUUUCCAGAUGCUGUGUGUCUAGGCAAGAGGACAUCUGAGGAGCUAGAAGUAUUUGAUGUGAAUUCUGUUUAGUGGUCUAGGCUGCUUUCAUUUUCAUGAUAGAUUUCCAGGUAUGUUUGUUUUGAACAGGCAGAUUUUACAUUUUGAGGUCUAUUCUGUUUUUUUAAUAGCAAUGCUGAUUUUAAGACAAAUAGUAUCACCAUUUUAUACCUAGUAAUAGGCAAAGCUGGGACUUAAAACUAGGUCUUCCAACACCAGAUCAUUACAGCACAUGAACAGUGUAUUCAUUAUGCACUGGCUGUUACAUAGUUCAGUGAUGGACACUACCAAGAGGUGAAACUCAAUCAUUAGUCUUCAUUGGUAAAAAUCUUGGCAGAGUUUUGAUAAGUCAAACACUGAAAUUAUGUGUUCAAGUGAGAACUUUGUGCAUCUCAUACGUAUAGAUUAGUAUAGUCCUCCAUUUGCUGAAUAAUAGCAGGUAAUAACAGACUUACACACUUACACAGUGCUUUCAGACUCCAGUUGGAAUGGACUACUGUUCUCUGAAUGUGCCUUCUACUUUCAUAUCUUGCCUAUGCUCUUCCCUCCCCACUGUCUCUUUCUAACAGAAUACAGCCUGUGUUUUAAGGCCUGUCCCAAAUUCUGCUACACUCAUAAACUUACCCUGAUUUUCACGGUUGAAUGUGAUCUCUCUGACCCAUCUAUAAAAUUUUGUUUUACCUAUUCAGGGGUGCUUACUUAUUUUGUUUUGUCUUCUGUCAAAAAUAUUUCUUUCUUUCUCUUUACCUGAGACACAGUAUAGUAUAGUAGACAAGAGUAUGGACUUGAGCCAGAGUGCCUGGAUUUGAAUGUCGAAUGUGCCAUCCAUUUCCUCCCUCAUAAAAUGAGUGUUAAAAUAGUGCCUGUGCUUUAGGGUAUUUAUGAGACUCCAAGAAAUUGAUAACGUUAUAAUGCCCUUAGAACAGUCUUGGGACAAAGAAGGUCAGUGCUCAAUAAAAUUUAGCUUUAAUGUUGACUAUACUAGAUUGUAACAUCGGGAGAAGCAAGGAGUAUUUAUUUCCCAUACUUCUCUCUUAUGGGAAAAUGUAUUUGAUUUCUGGUUUAGGUUUCCCUAACCAUCCGCACCACCCCUGCCCCAAGGGCAUCAAGGUGUAAGGGCCAUCAAGGCUCAGGAAUGUGGAGAAGUAGAUGCUUAGGAACACUAGUAGUUCAACACACAUUUAGAAAGGAUAUCACAUUUUGGGGGAAGCUUCCUGACCCUAAAAGACAGCAAAUCAAAUCUGUCAUACGUGUACCCGUAUUGCUAAGCUUACAGCCACAAACCAGAAGGGGGCAACAGAUCUGCUUACUAUCUGUGAAGAA
rnacentral:lncRNA from 1 species